GGUCCUACGGGGGGCAGCAGUGAGGAAUAUUGGUCAAUGGGCGGGAGCCUGAACCAGCCAAGUCGCGUGAAGGAAGAAGGUACUUAGUAUUGUAAACUUCUUUUGUCGGGGGACAAAGGCGGAGACGCGUCUCCGGAUGAGUGUACCCGAAGAAAAAGCAUCGGCUAACUCCGUGCCAGCAGCCGCGGUAAUACGGAGGAUGCGAGCGUUAUCCGGAUUUAUUGGGUUUAAAGGGUGCGCAGGCGGGAGAUCAAGACAGCGGUGAAAUGUCUGGGAUCAACCCCUGCCGG
rnacentral:rRNA from 1 species